rnacentral:rRNA from 1 species
UACAGAGGUGGCGAGCGUUUAUUCGGAAUUAUUGGGCGUAAAGGGCGCGUAGGCGGCUUGACAAGUCCCGGGUGAAAUCCCUCGGCUCAACCGAGGAACUGCCUUGGAAACUGUCUGGCUUGAGGCCGGGAGAGGGUAGUGGAAUUCCCAGUGUAGCGGUGAAAUGCGUAGAGAUGUGGAGGAACACCGAUGGCGAAGGCAGCCCCCUGGGCUGAGAUUGACGCUGAGUGCACGAAAGCGUGGGGAGCAAACAGG